rnacentral:rRNA from 1 species
GGCUCAGGAUGAACGCUGGCGGCGUGCCUAACACAUAGCAAGUCGAACGAGCGAGAGAUGAAACCUAGUGAUUCUCGAGCGAGUGGCGGACGGGUGAGUAACGCGUGGGCAACCUGCCUUACAGAGGGGGAUAACAGUUUGAAAAGACUGCUAAUACCUCAUAAGCACACAGUACCGCAUGGUACAGGGUGAAAAGAUUUAUCACUGUAAGAUGGACCCGCGUCUGAUUAGCCAGUUGGCAGGGUAACGGCCUACCAAAGCGACGAUCAGUAGCCGACCUGAGAGGGUGAUCGGCCACAUUGGGACUGAGACACGGCCCAAACUCCUACGGGAGGCAGCAGUGGGGGAUAUUGCACAAUGGAGGAAACUCUGAUGCAGCCGACGCCGCGUGAGUGAAGAAGUAUUUCGGUAUGUAAAGCUCUAUCAGCAGGGAAGAUAAUGACAGUACCUGACCAAGAAGCCCCGGCUAACUACGUGCCAGCAGCCGC